AACGCACAUUGCGCCUGCUAGAAUUCUAGCAGGCAUGCCUGUCCGAGCGUCAUUUCAACCUUCAAGUCCUGCUGUGACUUGGUGUUGGGGUACCCGUGGCAUUUAAUGUCUUGUGGGCCCUGAAAGUCAGUGGCGGACCCACUAGGUCUCCGAGCGCAGUAGCAUUUUCUCGCUCCUGGAGGUUCUAGAGGGCUUUUCUAGCCAUUAAACCCCAACUGAAAUUAUCAAGCUUGACCUCGGAUCAGGUAGGAAUACCCGCUGAACUUAA
rnacentral:misc_RNA from 1 species